ensembl:lncRNA
CUGAUUUUCUUCUAUCAGGAUGUAAAACAGAAUCUGUCCUCCCGUCAGUCUUCCUUUGUGGACGCAUCAAACUCAGCUGUGGCUCAGAGGAAACUCUUCCUCACUACGGGGAACUCUGAGCCUUUACUGGUGAAAUGUCUGUUCUUCCUGAGAACCACUGAGAAGGCCAUAACCACCGCUAACGUGCAGCAGGAAGUGAACUUUGGCGUGUUGGACUGCAGCGGCGGCAGCGGCAUCCUGAACAGUCUGGAAACUCUGCUGACUCACAUCAUGUUACCUGCUCUCAGGUCGCAGCAGUCAUGGGGCUCUGUGCAGGACGGCGCCUCGUGUCCACACGUCCAGUCCUUCCUGUCCUCGGUGGAUCAGGUUGUCAGUAAUCUGAGCUCAGCCAGACUGAACAUGGAGAGAAAGUUCCAGCUGCAGCACAUCGAGCUUCCUGACGCCAUCAGCCAGCUGAGCAGCCCUGCAGACUACAGAGCAGCAGGUAUGAAGCUCAAGCUGUUCACAUCUCACACAAACAAUAAGACUGUUGGAAAUACAGGAAACAUCAUUUAAAAGGUUUAAAAAUCAACUCUCAGGUAAAUCAAACCAGUUUAUCUGUGGAGGCUGAAGGAAGCAUCUGACCUGAGACGAUGGCUUCUUUGAAAUAAUGAGUCCGUGUUCACGUGUGUUUAGAGAAACUCGUGUGUUUCGCUCUCAGCCAAUAACAGUGAGCUGGUGGAGCGUCUUGAGGAGGUGUUGACCC